GUUAAGGCAUGAUGGCCUGUACCCGAAACCGACACAGGUGGGGUGGUAGAGAAUACCGAGGGGCGCGAGGUAACUCUCUCUAAGGAACUCGGCAAAAUGGCCCCGUAACUUCGGGAGAGGGGUGCCACCGCAAGGUGGUCGCAGUGAAGAGGCCCAGGCGACUGUUUACCAAAAACACAGGUCUCCGCUAAGUCGCAAGACGAUGUAUGGGGGCUGACGCCUGCCCAGUGCCGGAAGGUUAAGGAAGCUGGUCAGCGCAAGCGAAGCUGGCGACUGAAGCCCCGGUGAACGGCGGCCGUAACUAUAACGGUCCUAAGGUAGCGAAAUUCCUUGUCGGGUAAGUUCCGACCCGCACGAAAGGCGUAACGAUCUGGGCGCUGUCUCGGAGAGAGGCUCGGCGAAAUAGAAUUGUCUGUGAAGAUGCGGACUACGUGCACCCGGACAGAAAGACCCUAUGAAGCUUUACUGUAGCUUGGUAUUGUGCCCGGGCUCUGAAUGCGCAGGAUAGGUGGGAGGCUUUGAUCCAUUGCUUGUGGGUGAUGGUGAGCCACUGGUGAGAUACCACUCUUUCAGAGCUAGGGUUCUAACGGUCACCCGUUAUCCGGGGACCGGACAGUAUCAGGUGGGCAGUUUGACUGGGGCGGUCGCCUCCCAAGUUAACGGAGGCGCGCAAAGGUUCCCUCAGGCUGGUUGGAAAUCAGCCGACGAGUGUAAAGGGCAGAAGGGAGCUUGACUGUGAGACCUACAAGUCGAACAGGGACGAAAGUCGGCCUUAGUGAUCCGACGGUUCUGAGUGGAAGGGCCGUCGCUCAACGGAUAAAAGUUACUCUAGGAUAACAGGCUGAUCUCCCCCAAGAGUUCACAUCGACGGGGAGGUUUGGCACCUCGAUGUCGGCUCAUCGCAACCUGGGGCUGAAGUCGGUCCCAAGGGUUGGGCUGUUCGCCCAUUAAAGCGGUACGCGAGCUGGGUUCAGAACGUCGUGAGACAGUUCGGUCCAUAUCCGGUGCACGCGCAGGAACAUUGAGAGGAUUUCUCCCUAGUACGAGAGGACCGGGAGGAACGCACCUCUGGUGUACCAGUUAUCGUGCCAACGGUAAACGCUGGGUAGCCACGUGCGGAGUGGAUAACCGCUGAAAGCAUCUAAGUGGGAAGCCCACCUCAAGAUGAGUGUUCCCAUGGCAUAAGCCAGUAAGGUCACGGGAAGAACACCCGUUGAUAGGCUCUACGUGGAAGCGUGGCAACACGUGAAGCGGAGGAGUACUAAUAGACCGAGGGC
rnacentral:rRNA from 1 species